CUGACAGAGGCUAAUCUCCAUAUGAAAAGGGAAUUUGACUUAGAGAAUGGACCUUCAAUUGAGGGAAUAAUUGUAGCAGUUUCAGUUUUUGGGGCCAUUGUGAUUACAAUAUUCUCUGGAUCACUAUUGGAUUGGCUUGGGAGACGUGUUGUAUUGAUUCACUCAUCUCUGCUAUUAUUUUUCGGUGGCGUCCUUAUGCUGUGGUCUCCUAAUAUCUACAUUCUACUCCUAGCUAGGCUAAUUGUUGGAUCAGGAAGUGGCUUGGUUUUCACCUGUGUCCCAAUUUAUAUCUCAGAAACAUCUUCUCCAGAUAUGCGGGGAUCACUGGGAACUAUGCCACAGUUCAUGUUCAUCGUUGGAAUAAUCUUUUCCUAUUGCAUGAUAUUUUGGAUGACACUGGUGUCUUCUCCUAACUGGAGAUGUAUGAUUGGCUCAGCCUUUGCUCCUUCCACUCUCUACUUUGCUUUAUUGGUGUUCUACUUGCCAGAGUCGCCUAGGUGGCUUGUAAGCGAUGGAAAAAAUAGCCAAGCCAGAGUUUCUUUACAGUGGCUUAGAGGGAAGGAUGAUGUUUCAGGUGAGAUUGUCACCAACAACUUCAAAAGAUCUAUUCACAUUUUACUGUAUUCAGCUGAAGAUGGCUGGUUCUGA
rnacentral:rRNA from 1 species